rnacentral:rRNA from 1 species
GACGAACGCUGGCGGCGUGCUUAACACAUGCAAGUCGAACGGAAAGGCCCUGCUUUUGUGGGGUGCUCGAGUGGCGAACGGGUGAGUAACACGUGAGUAACCUGCCCUUGACUUUGGGAUAACUUCAGGAAACUGGGGCUAAUACCGGAUAGGAGCUCCUGCUGCAUGGUGGGGGUUGGAAAGUUUCGGCGGUUGGGGAUGGACUCGCGGCUUAUCAGCUUGUUGGUGGGGUAGUGGCUUACCAAGGCUUUGACGGGUAGCCGGCCUGAGAGGGUGACCGGCCACAUUGGGACUGAGAGACGGCCCAGACUCCUACGGGAGGCAGCAGUGGGGAAUAUUGCACAAUGGGCGGAAGCCUGAUGCAGCAACGCCGCGUGCGGGAUGACGGCCUUCGGGUGGUAAACCGCUUUCGCCUGUGACGAAGCGUGAGUGACGGAAAUGGGUAAAGAAGCACCGGCUAACUACGU